UACGAGCGCACCCUUGUCCUUAUUUGCCAGCGCGUAAUGGCGGGAACUCUAAGGAGACUGCCGGUGACAAACCGGAGGAAGGUGGGGACGACGUCAAGUCAUCAUGGCCCUUACGAGUAGGGCUACACACGUGCUACAAUGGUCGGUACAAAGGGUUGCCAACUCGCGAGAGUGAGCCAAUCCCGAAAAGCCGAUCUCAGUCCGGAUCGGAGUCUGCAACUCGACUCCGUGAAGUCGGAAUCGCUAGUAAUCGUGGAUCAGAAUGCCACGGUGAAUACGUUCCCGGGCCUUGUACACACCGCCCGUCACACCAUGGGAGUGGACUGCACCAGAAGUGGUUAGCCUAACGCAAGAGGGCGAUCACCACGGUGUGGUUCAUGACUGGGGUGAAGUCGUAACAAGGUAGCCGUAGGGGAACCUGCGGCUGGAUCACCUCCUU
rnacentral:rRNA from 1 species